UUUCAACAAAUAGGUUCCAAUCGUAAGCGUCUCAAAAUUUUCUCGAUGAGCUCUGCCGGAAACUCGCGCAGUCUUUUCCAAGAUAUCGGCAGUAGAAAGUUUGUGCAUUCCGUACUCGUCAUAUUGGACACUGAUCAUAUCUCAAUCCCUAAACCGAAUGAGGGGAUAGAGGUUCGAGGAUUCGCAUGAUGAUAAUAGCAGGGACACGUAGCGAUGAACCAGUCUAUGUCCUGGUGAUCUCUAAAGGCAAAAACUUAGAAGAAGACGCCAAGUUCUCCACUGUUCGUGAGCUUUUGGAAAAACACAGAGAUUUCCAUCUUACCGUUGUAAAGCCUGAUACCGUCCUAAGCUUGUGAAUCCGUGGUAGCUGUUCUGAGGUCUCCUCAGCUUCGGUGUUUUGCUUUUAUGAGCACCCUG